AAUUGGAGGGCAAGUCUGGUGCCAGCAGCCGCGGUAAUUCCAGCUCCAAUAGCGUAUAUUAAAGUUGUUGCAGUUAAAAAGCUCGUAGUUGAAUUUCGGGAUCAAUAUUUCGGUCAUGCCGUUGGUAUGCACUGUUAUCAUUGAUUUCUCACCUUCUAAAGAACCGUAAUGCCAUUAAUUUGGUGUUACGGGGAAUUAGGACUGUUACCUUGAAAAAAUUAGAGUGUUUAAAGCAGGCUCACGCUUGAAUACAUUAGCAUGGAAUAAUGAAAUAGGACAUCCGAUUCUAUUUUGUUGGUUUCUAGGAUCGAUGUAAUGAUUAAUAGGGAUAGUUGGGGGCAUUAGUAUUCAAUUGUCAGAGGUGAAAUUCUUGGAUUUAUUGAAGACUAACUACUGCGAAAGCAUUUGCCAAGGAUGUUUUCAUUAAUCAAGAACGAAAGUUAGGGGAUCGAAGACGAUCAGAUACCGUCGUAGUCUUAACCAUAAACUAUGCCGACUAGGGAUCGGAUGAUGUUAAUUUUUUAAUGGCUCAUUCGGCGCCUUACGGGAAACCAAAGUGU
rnacentral:rRNA from 1 species